rnacentral:snoRNA from 1 species
GGUCAAUGAUGAGAUCUUGGCCUGGUCAUUAGAGAGGUGUUGUCUUAAAAGUCAUGCACAAUAGAGCUACACUGAGGACC